GAUGAAAGAGGGGGGAGAGAAGCAUACAUGCAAGUCGAGCGAACGGACGAGAAGCUUGCUUUUCUGAUGUUAGCGGCGGACGGGUGAGUAACACGUGGAUAACCUACCUAUAAGACUGGGAUAACUUCGGGAAACCGGAGCUAAUACCGGAUAAUAUUUUGAACCGCAUGGUUCAAAAGUGAAAGACGGUCUUGCUGUCACUUAUAGAUGGAUCCGCUCUGCAUUAGCUAGUUGGUAAGGUAACGGCUUACCAAGGCAACGAUGCAUAGCCGACCUGAGAGGGUGAUCGGCCACACUGGAACUGAGACACGGUCCAGACUCCUACGGGAGGCAGCAGUAGGGAAUCUUCCGCAAUGGGCGAAAGCCUGACGGAGCAACGCCGCGUGAGUGAUGAAGGUCUUCGGAUCGUAAAACUCUGUUAUUAGGGAAGAACAUAUGUGUAAGUAACUGUGCACAUCUUGACGGUACCUAAUCAGAAAGCCACGGCUAACUACGUU
rnacentral:rRNA from 1 species